rnacentral:lncRNA from 1 species
AGAGCGGCCCUGAGCCGGAGCUCCGAGCUUUGCAGGGAGGUGUGUGCUUGCAGCUGGCAGGCCGGCCGCCUCAGGACUCCGCAUCCGCAGUCCUUUUCUCUCGCUGGGAGCGGGUGUCACUUACCUCACGCACUUGCCCACCCAGGACAUCUGACCCAGCUUGUACAACUGGAGCCAAAGGCCUUCCUGGCACAGAAAGGGGCCCAAAAGCUGGUUCUUAGAUACGCUCCAGCCCGGCCUGUUUAUCUCGUGAGCUUCAGAAGGCAAGCCGCCCCCGCCCGCCAUGGCUCCUUCCCCGUGUGAUUACAUCUUUCCUUGGUAAUGGGGUUUUGACUGGCCUUUUGUAUAACGCUCAGCCACAAUGGGACAAGAAUAUUCUCCCCUUAUUUUUAUCAGGCGCUUUUAUUUCCUGAGCUGUUUUUGUAAGUGUGCUUGUUUCUGGUUUUGCUCCUCGUCUGGAAAGGGGCCCGGGAUUCUGGGAUAAGAUUAGAUGCCCUGGUGUGUCAACUGGUCUUUAAAAGAAAGAAGCAAAAGUUGAUCACAUGCUGAAGCUCAGGGCCAAUGCAGAGCUACCUCCCAAGAGACCAAUCAAUUUCAAUUAAGGAGAUUAAAAGCCCCGAGCACAGAGAGGCCCGGUCACGGGUUUCUGAAUGCCCUGCUCUUCCCGCAGCCUAAAAGCAGCCAGUGGACCCCAGAAGCACUGGGUAUUGUCCUCUGGGCCAGUGUCAAGACAGCAGUGAGGGAGCGAAUGCGAAAGACGCAGCCAGCUGAAGGGGCUCGGUGAUUCUUCACGGGACCCUGUUGGCAUUUGGGGAAGGGCUGACCUCCGGCGUCCUUGACCCCGCCAAGCAUCCAGACCCAAAUUACUGGCCUAACCCAACCCAGUCCAAACUAACAGCCCCCACAGUUCCCAGGGGCAGAACCACCCCAG